GGCGGUUUGUAACUGUGGUCACAAAAAUCAAUGUUCUGGGAGAACGGGAAGCAGCUCCAUUUUUUGGGAGCCCUUUACACAGCUCAAGGUCUGGGUCCCAGGGUCCACCUUCAUGUUCCACCAAUGAGUUUGUUCACAGGGGGUGGAGUGUGUAGGGGAUAUUCUGAUAUGUGUGUAAGGAAUGCAUUGUGUGAAUCUGUGUUUGUAUGUGUAAGGGCUGCAAGGUGUGUUUCUGUGUAUGUACGAGAUGCAUUGAGUGUGUGUAAGGGGUGCCUUGAGUGUGUGUAAUGAAUGCAUUGUGUGUAACGGUUGCAUUGCUUGUGUAUGUGUGUCUGUGUGUGUAAUGCAGUGUGUGUAAUGCAUUGUGUGUUUUUUCUGUGUGCAAGGGGUGC